GGAGCCAUAGCUCAGUGAUUAGAGUACUGUAUGCUUUGCAUGUAAAAGGUCUCAGGUUCAAUCCCUGAUACCUCCA